rnacentral:ncRNA from 1 species
ACUACAUAGUCGGGGAGCAGUAAUGCUGAGAUCGCUUAAGCGAGACCCGUUGAACCUGAUUCAGUUAGCACUGGCGUAGGGAACUAUGGGGACAGCUUU